rnacentral:rRNA from 1 species
UACGUAGGGGGGCAAGCGUUGUCCGGGAAUCAUUGGGCGUAAAGAGCGUGUAGGCGGCCCGGUAAGUCCGUUGUGAAAGUCCAGGGCUCAACCCUGGAAAGCCGAUGGAUACUGCCGGGCUAGAGUUCGGAAGAGGCGAGUGGAAUUCCUGGUGUAGCGGUGGAAUGCGCAGAUAUCAGGAGGAACACCUAUAGCGAAGGCAGCUCGCUGGGACGACACUGACGCUGAGACGCGAAAGCGUGGGGAGCGAACAGG